AAACAGCAGCAUAACAGUUCUGCAGCUAUGAUGUAUUACAGAGGUGGUGUCUACUGAUGUACUACUCCCCUAAUUUAUCUCGCUGAGUCACCUGUGUCUCACAUAGUUUGUAUUUUUUCUCAAAUGUCUUUUGGUUUAUGUGACACCUGAAAUCCAAGAAGCAUGUCUAGUAACAAAUUCGGGCUGAGGUAAAGUCCUAGAAAUGGAAACAUAUGGAAGAAAUUAGGGAAGACAGACAGGUUAGAAGAAAGAGGAGCACAGAGGAAGGAAAGUAAGGUCAGACAUCAAAGACGACAAAAAGGGACAAGGUUUCACAGCGUCAUCAGACUUCAUUGAGACUCUUAUUCAGCUUCUGUAUGCGGAAACCGAAACUUAAGAGAUUAAGAUAACUGGCGACACUGUGCUGCUGCUGGGUGAGCUUUACGAGCCUGACUCUGUUCAACGAAGUGGAAUGACAGCCAGACACAAGGGUGUGCAGGCAGAGCCCUGACCCAGGCAAAGUGGAAAACAGGCAGCUAGUAGGAAGCGCUUACCUGCGUGUUUACUUCAGUAUUAAUUUUUCUUAGCUAAACAAAACAUCCCAAUAUCCUUGUAAUAUAAUUCUUUCACAUUAACUGGUGAGACUGCAGAAAUCAGAGAAGUGGACCAAAGAUACCUCAUGAGGAAUCAGUGUGAAAAAAGAAAAGCUGCAAGUGAAGUGCACAUGCUUUGUCAAAGCACUAAGCAGAACAAUAACUACUCCAAACCUGGUGGGCAUGAGUGUCUCUAGUACCCUCGAGAGCCUGCGUCUGUCAUACUGUCAUCACACAACUGGCAGAGUUUAAAAUAGUGAGGGGGACAGCAUAACCAGAUGGACUUCACUUGACAGAAAGCAAUGAUUCAUCCAUUCCUUCUCUGUCGUACCAGGGAGUGU